GGAUGGCGGCAGGGGUCACCUGGAGAGCUUGGCCACGAGGUACGCCGACGAGCUUCGAACACAUUAUAAAGACGUCCUCGCCAGGUUAGAGGAAAUCCGGAAGCGGCGAGUGGCAAUUGACUUCCCCCCACUUCCGCCCCAAAGUGAUAGUCUGUCCUUAAAAGCUAAUCGAAACUUCAAGCCAGGGAAAUAUUCGCCGUCCAGUUGUCUGAGUGAUCACGAGGAGGAGAGCAUAUACUGCCUGUAUGAGGUUCCCCCGAACUUCGCUAUCGAGACCCCGUCCUCUGCCAAUGCUGUUGCUGCCGAUCCCCUCAGAACGUCAAGGCAAAGGUAUGU